AGGCUUAACACAUGCAAGUCGAACGCUCGUAGCAAUACGGGAGUGGCAGACGGGUGAGUAACGCGUGGGAACAUACCCUUCGGUUCGGAAUAACUCAGGGAAACUUGAGCUAAUACCGGAUACGGCUGAGAGGCGAAAGAUUUAUCGCCGGAGGAUUGGCCCGCGUUCGAUUAGCUAGUUGGUGAGGUAACGGCUCACCAAGGCGACGAUCGAUAGCUGGUCUGAGAGGAUGAUCAGCCACAUUGGGACUGAGACACGGCCCAA
rnacentral:rRNA from 1 species